rnacentral:rRNA from 1 species
UAGUCCACGCCCUAAACGAUGUCUACUAGUUGUCGGGUUUUAAUUAACUUGGUAACGCAGCUAACGCGUGAAGUAGACCGCCUGGGGAGUACGGUCGCAAGAUUAAAACUCAAAGGAAUUGACGGGGACCCGCACAAGCGGUGGAUGAUGUGGAUUAAUUCGAUGCAACGCGAAAAACCUUACCUACCCUUGACAUGGAAGGAAUCCCGGAGAGAUUUGGGAGUGCCCGAAAGGGAACCUUCACACAGGUGCUGCAUGGCUGUCGUCAGCUCGUGUCGUGAGAUGUUGGGUUAAGUCCCGCAACGAGCGCAACCCUUGUCAUUAGUUGCUACGCAAGAGCACUCUAAUGAGACUGCCGGUGACAAACCGGAGGAAGGUGGGGAUGACGUCAAGUCCUCAUGGCCCUUAUGGGUAGGGCUUCACACGUCAUACAAUGGUACAUACAGAGGGCCGCAACCCGCGAGGGGGAGCUAAUCCCAGAAAGUGUAUCGUAGUCCGGAUUGUAGUCUGCAACUCGACUAC